UCAUUUCACGACAAUGCAACUUUUUGAAACCAGAUGUUUUCAAGGUAUAAAACGCUGUUUAAUCAGCCAAUCGUAAUCCAUCUAAAACAAGACAUUUGUUUGUAUAGAAGAAAUAUACAUUUAAUAUGGUUGUUGAUUUUAAUUACCAUCUCAAAGGGCAAGUUAAACAAGCAUAACGAUUUGGGAAAAUGAACUCAUAAAGAAAAUAUUCCAACAAGACCCCGCUUUCUGUUUCCAACCUUUUAAAGCCUCAGACUGUGCUGGCUCACAUUGGAUUUCUUCUCCCAACAACUCGAGAAAUGCUCACGAAUCCUUUCUUAAACCAAAAACUUUGUUCUUUCUUUUCACGCCAAAAAACCCAUCCAAUCCAGAGUUUCUACAUUUAUGUGGUGGGAAGCUUCCCAGCAACUCCAAUUUCGACCCCCUGCACCAAACAGAAGUCUUCAUUCAUGGAUAUUUGGACGGAGUUUGCAGAUCAGCAUGGAUGAGGGUAAGUGAAAAAGUAUUUGUGAUCUCAUUACCAGAAGUAUCCUUAAACCAUGCGAAGAAAAACCAUGAAUUCACAAGCUCAGAUAACAGAGUAAGGUUGAUUUUAAUGUCAGCAAUAACAUUUAUCACAAAGCCCAACAAGGCUUAUAAAUUAUUAGCAAAUAAACCAUGCAAACUUGAAACAAUGUUAAACUUAAGUAUGUAACUCUACGCGCUAUGAUAUUAGGCUUGCAUUGAUUUGUCGAUUGCGAGAUUGUAUCUGUAUUUACAAAACAAGUCUAGAAAAACCUUCUGCAAAUGAGGAUGAAUCGCAAAUCUAGUGUAGAAAGAGUUCUCAAACUGCGGAUAAAUUCACUUCCUCAAUGUUAAUUUUAGAUUUUAUGAUGAUCACUGAAACAAGAUUUUCGCUCAUGCUUUCAUGUACUUUCAUUAACACUUUAAAAGUGAAG
rnacentral:misc_RNA from 1 species